rnacentral:rRNA from 1 species
UGGGGAAUAUUGCGCAAUGGGCGAAAGCCUGACGCAGCAACGCCGCGUGAGGGAUGACGGCUUUCGGGUUGUAAACCUCUUUCAGUGAUGACGAAAAUGACGGUAGUCACAGAAGAAGCUCCGGCCAACUACGUGCCAGCAGCCGCGGUAACACGUAGGGAGCGAGCGUUGUCCGGAUUUAUUGGGCGUAAAGAGCUCGUAGGCGGUUUCGUAAGUCGGAUGUGAAAACUCAGGGCUCAACCCUGAGACGCCAUCUGAUACUGCGAUGACUAGAGUCCGGUAGAGGAGCAUGGAAUUCCUGGUGUAGCGGUGGAAUGCGCAGAUAUCAGGAGGAACACCAACGGCGAAGGCAGUGCUCUGGGCCGGUACUGACGCUGAGGAGCGAAAGCAUGGGGAGCAAACAGGAUUAGAUACCCCCGUAGUCC